UCAGAAAAACUUUCUCAGAUGUGAUUCUUUAAAUUAAUGAUAAUUUACAUUAGUAUAUUUAAAUCUUCAUGUAUACAUAAAAUUUCACUUUUCCCCCUCAAAAUACCAUUUGGGAAAGAGAAGGGAGAGCAUUAGAGUUUGCUCUGAAUUUUCAGAGUUGUGAAAUAUUUGUGCUUUAGAUACACUGAUAGUUGCUGUUUCAUUCUUUGUCUUUUAUUUUACAAGAAUAAUGACCUCUCAGAAUGAAAGCUUCUGGUUCUGUCUUAAAUGCAAUUCUGUGGAGAACUGAGUACCUGUGAGCAAACUUUUACCUCUAGGCCCUGCAGUACAAUGUUGAAUAGAAGUGCCGAUGAUGGUCAUCUCUGUCUUGUUCUAAACCUCAGAGGAGCUGGAAAGUAUUUAGCUAUCAACAAAUGAAUUCUACACUUGAACUCUGCCUCAUUCCUGUGCCACCUCCUCCUCUAGAAAAUUGACGUUUAAAACAGGUAAGACUAAGUCUAACU